GACGAACGCUGGCGGCGUGCUUAACACAUGCAAGUCGAACGGUAAGGCCCUUCGGGGUACACGAGUGGCGAACGGGUGAGUAACACGUGGGUGAUCUGCCCUGCACUUCGGGAUAAGCCUGGGAAACUGGGUCCAAUACCGGAUAGGACCACUGCCUGCAUGGGUGGUGGUGGAAAGCUUUUGCGGUGUGGGAUGGGCCCGGGGCCUAUCCGCUUGUUGGUGGGGUGAUGGCCUACCAAGGCGACGACGGGUAGCCGGCCUGAGUGGGUGACCGGGCCUACUGGGACUGAGAUACGGCCCAGACGCGUACGGGGUGCAGCAGUGGGGAAUAGUGCACAAUGGGCGCAAGCAUGAUGCAGCGACGCCGCGUGAGGGAUGACGGCCUUCGUGUUGUAAACCUCUUUCAGCACCGACGAAGCGCAAGUGACGGUAGGUGCAGAAGAAGGACCGGCCAACUACGUGCCAGCAGCCGCGGUAA
rnacentral:rRNA from 1 species